rnacentral:rRNA from 1 species
UACAGAGAGUGCGAGCGUUAAUCGGAAUUACUGGGCGUAAAGCGCACGUAGGUGGAUGUUUAAGUCGGAUGUGAAAGCCCUGGGCUUAACCUAGGAAUUGCAUUCGAUACUGGGCGUCUAGAGUAUAGUAGAGGGAAGUGGAAUUUCCGGUGUAGCGGUGAAAUGCGUAGAUAUCGGAAGGAACAUCAGUGGCGAAAGCGGCUCACUGGCCCGGUACUGACGCUGAGGUGCGAAAGCGUGGGGAGCGAACGAGG